UACGUAGGGUGCAAGCGUUGUCCGGAAUUAUUGGGCGUAAAGAGCUCGUAGGCGGUCUGUCACGUCGGCUGUGAAAACCCGAGGCUCAACCUCGGGCCUGCAGUCGAUACGGGCAAACUAGAGUACUGCAGGGGAGACUGGAAUUCCUGGUGUAGCGGUGAAAUGCGCAGAUAUCAGGAGGAACACCGGUGGCGAAGGCGGGUCUCUGGGCAGUAACUGACGCUCAUGCACGAAAGCGUGGGGAGCAAACAGG
rnacentral:rRNA from 1 species